UACGUAGGGUCCGAGCGUUGUCCGGAAUUAUUGGGCGUAAAGGGCUCGUAGGCGGUUUGUCACGUCGGGCGUGAAAACUCAGGGCUUAACCCUGAGCGUGCGUUCGAUACGGGCAGACUAGAGGUAUGCAGGGGAGAACGGAAUUCCUGGUGUAGCGGUGGAAUGCGCAGAUAUCAGGAGGAACACCGGUGGCGAAGGCGGUUCUCUGGGCAUUACCUGACGCUGAGGAGCGAAAGCAUGGGGAGCGAACAGG
rnacentral:rRNA from 1 species